AGCAGCCGCGGUAAUUCCAGCUCCAAUAGCGUAUAUUAAAGUUGUUGCAGUUAAAAAGCUCGUAGUUGAAUUUCGGGGUUAGUAGGUUGGUCAUGCCACUGGUAUGUACUGAUCUUACUGAUUCCUCCUUCCUGAUGAACCGUAAUGCCAUUAAUUUGGUGUUGCGGGGAGACUGGACUGUUACUUUGAAAAAAUUAGAGUGUUUAAAGCAGGCUAACGCUUGAAUACAUUAGCAUGGAAUAAUGAAAUAGGACGUUCGAUCCUAUUUUGUUGGUUUCUAGGAUUGACGUAAUGAUUAAUAGGGAUAGUUGGGGGCAUUAGUAUUCAACUGUCAGAGGUGAAAUUCUUGGAUUUAUUGAAGACUAACUACUGCGAAAGCAUUUGCCAAGGAUGUUUUCAUUAAUCAAGAACGAAAGUUAGGGGAUCGAAGACGACCAGAUACCGUCGUAG
rnacentral:rRNA from 1 species